AUUGAACGCUGGCGGCAGGCCUAACACAUGCAAGUCGAGCGGAUGAAGGGAGCUUGCUCCGGAUUCAGCGGCGGACGGGUGAGGAAUGCCUAGGAAUCUGCCUGGUAGUGGGGGAUAACGUCCGGAAACGGGCGCUAAUACCGCAUACGUCCUGAGGGAGAAAGUGGGGGAUCUUCGGACCUCACGCUAUCAGAUGAGCCUAGGUCGGAUUAGCUAGUUGGUGGGGUAAAGGCCUACCAAGGCGACGAUCCGUAACUGGUCUGAGAGGAUGAUCAGUCACACUGGAACUGAGACACGGUCCAGACUCCUACGGGAGGCAGCAGUGGGGAAUAUUGGACAAUGGGCGAAAGCCUGAUCCAGCCAUGCCGCGUGUGUGAAGAAGGUCUUCGGAUUGUAAAGCACUUUAAGUUGGGAGGAAGGGCAGUAAGUUAAUACCUUGCUGUUUUGACGUUACCAACAGAAUAAGCACCGGCUAACUUCGUG
rnacentral:rRNA from 1 species